rnacentral:lncRNA from 1 species
GAGGCAUCAAUGCUUUGGUCACAGCUUUGGGAUGGGCAAAGCAAGAUAUGCAUGACUCUUGGCCAGUGAUUCUCAACCUCGGCUGCACAUUGGCAUCAACUGGGGAACCUUCAAAGCUCCUGGCAUGUGGGUUCCACCCUCAGAGAUUGUGAUGUAAUGCACUGACAGUCAAAUUGGGAACAACUGUAAAUUGGCUCAGUUCAUUCAUCUUUUACUGCUGUACAGAAGAUUUCAUUGUAUAAGUACUUCACAACUCAUGUACUGAUUUCUAGUUGAUGAACUGUUUCAAAUUUUUGUUAUUUCAAGCAAUUCUCUAAUGAAUGUUGUUGUACUUGUCUCCCCGUGAAUGUUCCUCUGGGGUAUAUACUGAGAAGUUUGAAUUGGCACAUCAAAGGUUGAGCAUCUUCACCUUUA